rnacentral:lncRNA from 1 species
ACUCUUUCAUUAUUAUGUGUAUGUUUAUUACGAAUCUUUUAGCUGUUUGGAGGAUAUAAAGGUCUGACAUUGUAAGUACUUUUGUUCAAAUUACAAAAUAUUAAAAUGAAGAUUAGUUUUUAUCAAAUUUGAAAACGGAUUUUGACAAUUAAAAUCCACCAUAUAUAUAUUAAAAUUUUACACAGAGAAACAAAAAAAACAAAUACAAAAAACAGACGGAUGUUUUUUAUGACUUAAGAUUAUAUAGUUUUGAUCUCAUUGUUAAGUUCAAUAUGUUUAUUAAUAAGCUCAGAAAAACACGAACAAAUUUCUAAAAUGUUUAUCAUAUUUUUAAAACUGACAAAAGAUAUGAAUUAUUUUAAUAGUUUGAGAUGACAUAGCACAAACUGGAAAAAGGACCGGGGUAUAUAUCGAUCUUUCUUUGUAAAACAAUUAAGGAAAAAGAAACCAGACUACAUUUGUAAUGUUAUCUGUAUUUAUAUAUAAAUCUCAUCACAUAGUCACGUGAUAUAUCAAAAUGAUUUAUUGAUCUUAUAGGCAAAACUGGAAUAAUCGUAAUGUAUUAUUGCAAACACAUAAUUUAUGACUGUGUAUAAACAUAUAGUUACAUGUAAAUCAUUAUAUUGUUGUUAAUUACAUGUAAUUGUCAUGCAUUUGGCCCUCUUAUGGUGUAAUUUGUGCUUUAAUAAAGUUAUAUAAUGAUAGGUCUUUUUUUUACCAUGUCAAAGCUAGGUCAAAAUAAAUAAUUACAGUACAAUAAUUACCAUUUAGAGAACAUGCAAUGCAGAAUACGUUGCAGGCAGAUGAGAUAUAGAAUAAGCUAUUUUAGUCGACAAAAUAAUAAGUGAUUUGAAAUAGUCAAAACGACACAUUACACCAAACAAUCUACCUUUGUUACCCAAUUAAUGCCUUCUUCGUCCUAUUUGAAAAAAGCUUCGUUUUUAAAGUCGUACAUGUACUAUGUCCUUUUUUAGUUUACUUUUGACAAAUUGUGACUUGGACGGAGACUUGCCUGAUUGACAUUAAUAUCAAUUCUUAUAACUAAGACAAGUACAAAUGAGUACCAUGAGGAAACAAACGGUCCCACAACGUUUGUAGUUCACGCGAAUAGUGUUUUACCUUUUUAUAUGUUUGAAAAUGAAUUUAUUAGACUGAGACAAGCUGAGCGAUAAACUGCCGUGGUUUCUGAUUAUUAUUUUUGGAGUUAUCCGUAACAAAAAAGUUUUCAGAUGCCAGGCAUAGAUAGCCUGAUAAAUAUGUCAAAUCUUUAUUAGACUGUUAUAUAUUUAGUGCUUUUUAAAUUCAUUAUUUAAUUUGCUUUCAAUUAAUUGCUGUAACAAGUAAAAAUCAAACUGUGCAACAAAACUGCUGCCUAUAUCAAAAUGCGGUCUUCAAUAUGGGUCGGGCGUUGUAUAAUUUUCUUUUGUUUUCGAACACAAUUUGAAUUGCACAAAUGAAUAAUAUGUUUUGUGUGUUGUUUCUUUCCAGUUGAAGACUUUAAAAUGGAGACGGCCAGUGGAAAUGAAAUACACGGUUUAAGCUCAAAUUAUGUUGCCCAGCGUAACAUGCGUAAGUCUUCAUAAUUCUUUUUUGACACAAAUUUGGAAUUUCUUUCAUAUGCACUUUUGUUUUGCCUUUUGGUCAUAUAUUUUUUUUUGCAUUUAUAAUUUUUUUGUUUGUUCAGGUUUUCAAUAACUCAUAUUUGUCUUCUUAUUCAUACAUUCAUUUGCGAUGUGUAUUCGAUUACAACACUGUCCCAUGCAAGAGAGGGGAGGGUUAGGAUCCCGCUAACAUGUUUAACCCCACCACAUUCUGUAUGUAUGUCCCAAGUCAGGAGCCUGUUAUUCAGUGGUUGUCGUUUGUUCAUGUGUUACAUAUUUGUUUUAAGUUUAAUUUUUUGUACAUAAAUAAGGCUGUUGUUUUACAUUUUCAUUUCGGAGCCUUUUAACAUGACUAUGCGGAAUGGACAUUGCUCAUUGUUGAAGGCCGUAUACUAGUAGUUGUGAAUUUCUGUUUAAUGUAGUCUCUUUUGGAGAAUGUGUUAUUGGCAAUAAUACUAUAUCUUCUUUUUCAUAAACCUUAGUAUACAAAACACAACAUAGAAAACGUAAAAUCUAAGCUACAAGAACCCUACCAAAAACAGGGGUUGACGUCCGGUGCACCGAAAAUGUAUGCAAAUCCUGCUUUACGUAUGGCACCCGAUACUCAUGCUAGUAUAAACCCGGUAACACGUUUACAUCGGUAGGUAACAUUUGUGAAAAACAGACGAAAUUGCAGUAAUUACAUUCGGAACAUAUCCACCAUCAUCCGUAUAACGGAUAUUCCAUAAAUAUAUAGCGUCUCAACAGAACCUUUCAACGUAUUAAGUUUGUAUCUUUUGUUUCUCACUGAAGUGUAACCAUUUCAUUUGCAUUACUGUAUUAUUAAGAAAAGUCAAAAUUAUAAUUCUGAUAUUUUUUUUUACUUUUUAGAGCGCUUAUGUAAACUGUACAUGUACCUCGAACUAAUACAAAAGUUACAUUGUUUGUAAUACUUUUUAGAAAAAAAAUUAUCAAUGUAGAAAACUAAAAGAAAGUCAUACCAUAAAUAUUAAAGAUGAUUUUAGAUCAACAUGGAUGACAUGUGACAGGCACUAUAUCAAAUUAAAAAAAAAACUCCUUCUUUUUCAGAACCAUUUGUUCCAAAAACUUUCAUUCAAAAGAUAAUUGCAUGUGUAACCCAGCCAAACAUUAUCUAUAUGCCUCCUGAUGUGAAAGUAAUACAAGAAGGGAAUGAAACCUUACGUAUUAUUGUUAAUAAAGGUA